CCUACGGUUGCUUAGUGGUUAGAGCGUCCGUCUGAGAUGCGAGGGAUCGCGAGUUCGAACCCCGGCCGAGUCAUACCAAAGA